rnacentral:lncRNA from 1 species
UACUGAAAAAUGCUGGUAAAUUAAAUAAAUCAGUGGAGAAAAGAUCCCCGCGGAAUUUCGGCACCCCUUUUGUCUUGUCCCCCUGACUAGGGGCUUCUGCGUUCAAUGAUGAAGGUCCCAUGCGUGGGAGGGGCCCCGUUUUCAGGUUGUGGGGCCCCAAAGUUUGGGUUCGGAAUCACGUUUUUUGCGAUUUUCUGCAGAACUUUUAGGGAUGGUCGGAUGCUUUGGGCGAUUCUGGACUUAUAUUAUCGUUCCGAAUCGAAUGCAAUCACUUUAAAUAAGCUACGACUUACCUUUUACGAUGUAACGUAGUUUUUUUCACAUAUGGCGAUUUAUAUCUGUUCCGAAGCUUGACAGAUACCUUCCUGUUUAUUAUUUUUUU